UGAGUACGAGACGCUAAGGCGUCGAAGUAGUGUAUGUCAUACUUCCAAGAAAAGCUUGCACUAUCAUAGAUAAAAAACGCCUGUACCAUAACCGACACAGGUGGGUAGGUAGAGUAUACUAAGGGGCGCGAGAUAACUCUCUCUAAGGAACUCGGCAAAAUAACUCCGUAACUUCGGGAGAAGGAGUGCCUUAUUAUUAAGGUUGCAAUAACAAGAUCCAAGCAACUGUUUAUCAAAAACACAGGUCUCCGCUAAGUCGUAAGACGAUGUAUGGGGGCUGACGCCUGCCCAGUGCCAGAAGGUUAAAGAAGUUGGUUAGCAAUUGCGAAGCUGAUAACUGAAGCCCUGGGGAACGGCGGCCGUAACGAUAACGGUCCUAAGGUAGCGAAAUUCCUUGUCGGGUAAGUUCCGACCCGCACGAAAGGCGUAAUGAUUUGGAUACUGUCUCGGAGAGGGGCUCGGUGAAAUAGACUUGUCUGUGAAGAUGCGGACUACCUGCACCAGGACAGAAAGACCCUAUGAAGCUUUACUGUAACUUGAAAUUGAAAUUGGACUUUAUUCGCGCAGUAUAGGUGGGAGGCGUCAUUAUAAUCUUGCGGGAUUAUUGGAGCCAUCAGUGAGAUACCACUCUUGUAAUGUUAGAUUUCUAACUUUGAAUCAUUAUCUGGUCAAAGAACAGUUUCAGGCGGGCAGUUUGACUGGGGCGGUCGCCUCCUAAACGGUAACGGAGGCGUACAAAGGUUUCCUCUGAACGGUUAGAAAUCGUAUCUAGAGUGUAAAGGCAUAAGGAAGCUUGACUGUGAGACCUACAAGUCGAGCAGGGACGAAAGUCGGUCUUAGUGAUCUGACGGUACUGAGUGGAAAGGCCGUCACUCAACGGAUAAAAGUUACUCUAAGGAUAACAGGCUGAUCUCCCCCAAGAGUUCACAUCGACGGGGAGGUUUGGCACCUCGACGUCGGCUCAUCGCAUCCUGGGGCGGUAGUACGUCCCAAGGGUUGGGCUGUUCGCCCAUGAAAGCGGUACGCGAGCUGGGUUCAGAACGUCGUGAGACAGUUCGGUCCAUAUCCGGUGUAGGCGUUAGAAUAUUGAGAGGAGCCUUCUUUAGUACGAGAGGACCGAGAAGGACAUACCUCUGGUCUACCAGUUAUCGUGCCAACGGUAAACGCUGGGUAGCUAUGUAUGGAGUGGAUAACCGCUGAAAGCAUCUAAGUGGGAAGCCCACCUCAAGAUAAGUAUUCUCAU
rnacentral:rRNA from 1 species